UGGGGGCUUGAGUUGAGACUGUCAGU
rnacentral:piRNA from 1 species